rnacentral:rRNA from 1 species
UGGGGAAUUUUGCGCAAUGGGGGAAACCCUGACGCAGCAACGCCGCGUGAGUGAUGAAGGCUUUCGGGUCGUAAAGCUCUGUCAGAGGGGAAGAAACUCCCGUGGUCCAAUAGGCCGCGGGACUGACGGUACCCUCAAAGGAAGCACCGGCUAACUCCGUGCCAGCAGCCGCGGUAAUACGGAGGGUGCAAGCGUUGUUCGGAAUUAUUGGGCGUAAAGCGCGUGUAGGCGGUCCGUUAAGUCUGAUGUGAAAGCCCGGGGCUCAACCCCGGAAGUGCAUUGGAUACUGGCGGACUUGAGUACGGGAGAGGGAAGUGGAAUUCCGAGUGUAGGGGUGAAAUCCGUAGAUAUCGGAGGAACACCGGUGGCGAAGGCGGCUUCCUGGACCGAUACUGACGCUGAGACGCGAAAGCGUGGGGAGCAAACAGGAUUAGAUACCCUGGUAGUCCACGCCGUAAACGAUGGGUACUAGGUGUUGCGGGUAUUGACCCCUGCAGUGCCGAAGCUAACGCA